rnacentral:rRNA from 1 species
AGCGAACGCUGGCGGCGUGCUUAACACAUGCAAGUCGAGGGAGAACGGAGGGCUUCGGCCUUCUUAGUAAACCGGCGCACGGGUGAGUAACACGUAGGUAACCUACCUCCGAGUUCGGGAUAACCUGUCGAAAGAUAGGCUAAUACCGGAUAAGACCACGGUGGCUUCGGCCUCUGCGGUCAAAGAUGGCCUCUAUUUAUAAGCUAUCGCUUGGGGAUGGGCCUGCGCACCAUUAGCUAGUUGGUGAGGUAAUGGCUCACCAAGGCUACGAUGGUUAGUUGGUCUGAGAGGAUGACCAGCCACACUGGGACUGAGACACGGCCCAGACUCCUACGGGAGGCAGCAGUGGGGAAUAUUGCGCAAUGGGGGAAACCCUGACGCAGCGACGCCGCGU